UACAGAGGAUGCAAGCGUUAUCCGGAAUGAUUGGGAGUAAAGCGUCUGUAGGUGGCUUUUCAAGUCCGCCAUCAAAUCCCAGGGCUCAACCCUGGACAGGCGGUGGAAACUACCAAGUUGGAGUACGGUAGGGGCAGAGGGAAUUUUCGGUGGAGUGGUGAAAUGCAUUGAGAUCGGAAAGAACACCAACGGCGAAAGCACUCUGCUGGGCCGACACUGACACUGAGAGACGAAAGCUAGGGGAGCAAAUGGG
rnacentral:rRNA from 1 species